rnacentral:rRNA from 1 species
ACAGGACAGUGCGGCGUGCUAUACAUGCAAGUCGAACGAACUUCCGUUAAUUGAUUAUGACGUACUUGUACUGAUUGAGAUUUUAACACGAAGUGAGUGGCGAACGGGUGAGUAACACGUGGGUAACCUGCCCAGAAGUAGGGGAUAACACCUGGAAACAGAUGCUAAUACCGUAUAACAGAGAAAACCGCAUGGUUUUCUUUUAAAAGAUGGCUCUGCUAUCACUUCUGGAUGGACCCGCGGCGUAUUAGCUAGUUGGUGAGGUAAAGGCUCACCAAGGCAGUGAUACGUAGCCGACCUGAGAGGGUAAUCGGCCACAUUGGGACUGAGACACGGCCCAGACUCCUACGGGAGGCAGCAGUAGGGAAUCUUCCACAAUGGACGCAAGUCUGAUGGAGCAACGCCGCGUGAGUGAAGAAGGGUUUCGGCUCGUAAAGCUCUGUUGUUAAAGAAGAACGUGGGUAAGAGUAACUGUUUACCCAGUGACGGUAUUUAACCAGAAAGCCACGGCUAACUACGUGCCAGCAGCCGCGGUAAUACGUAGGUGGCAAGCGUUAUCCGGAUUUAUUGGGCGUAAAGCGAGCGCAGGCGGUCUUUUAAGUCUAAUGUGAAAGCCUUCGGCUCAACCGAAGAAGUGCAUUGGAAACUGGGAGACUUGAGUGCAGAAGAGGACAGUGGAACUCCAUGUGUAGCGGUGAAAUGCGUAGAUAUAUGGAAGAACACCAGUGGCGAAGGCGGCUGUCUGGUCUGCAACUGACGCUGAGGCUCGAAAGCAUGGGUAGCGAACAGGAUUAGAUACCCUGGUAGUCCAUGCCGUAAACGAUGAUUACUAAGUGUUGGAGGGUUUCCGCCCUUCAGUGCUGCAGCUAACGCAUUAAGUAAUCCGCCUGGGGAGUACGACCGCAAGGUUGAAACUCAAAAGAAUUGACGGGGGCCCGCACAAGCGGUGGAGCAUGUGGUUUAAUUCGAAGCUACGCGAAGAACCUUACCAGGUCUUGACAUCUUCUGACAGUCUAAGAGAUUAAAGGUUCCCUUCGGGGACAGAAUGACAGGGGGGGCAUGGUUGUCCUCAGCUCUGGUCCUGGAAAUGUUGGGUUAAGUCCC